rnacentral:rRNA from 1 species
AGAGUUUGAUCUUGGCUCAGGAUGAACGCUGGCGGCGUGCCUAAUACAUGCAAGUCGAACGCUUUGUGGUUCAACUGAUUUGAAGAGCUUGCUCAGAUAUGACGAUGGACAUUGCAAAGAGUGGCGAACGGGUGAGUAACACGUGGGAAACCUACCUCUUAGCAGGGGAUAACAUUUGGAAACAGAUGCUAAUACCGUAUAACAAUGACAACCGCAUGGUUGUUAUUUAAAAGAUGGUUCUGCUAUCACUAAGAGAUGGUCCCGCGGUGCAUUUGCUAGUUGGUAAGGUAAUGGCUUACCAAGGCGAUGAUGCAUAGCCGAGUUGAGAGACUGAUCGGCCACAAUGGGACUGAGACACGGCCCAUACUCCUACGGGAGGCAGCAGUAGGGAAUCUUCCACAAUGGGCGAAAGCCUGAUGGAGCAACGCCGCGUGUGUGAUGAAGGGUUUCGGCUCGUAAAACACUGUUGUAAGAGAAGAAUGACAUUGAGAGUAACUGUUCAAUGUGUGACGGUAUCUUACCAGAAAGGAACGGCUAAAUACGUGCCAGCAGCCGCGGUAAU